AAGGGCGGCAGGAGGAGGGUUGACUUGCAAAUUGCAUCUUUGGAAGAUCCGUCCAUGAUCUCCGGGCGCCGGGGAGAGGGGACCAGCCUUGAAGAAGUCCUGCCAUGCUCUUGUGAGCCCAAGCCACAGCAGUUCGACAGACAAUGACCAAGCAGGACCAGCUGUGGCACUGGAGCAGAGAUCACAUCACUGCGAUGCUGAAACAUGUCCAGGAAACCACAGCCUUGUUUGCCCUGCAGGGAAGAUCUCUUGGGACAAGUGGUCUGGAACCAAAGCGGCAAUAUCUGUGAACCAGUAUUUUUUCUAAUGGCCAACACAUGAAGUUAGAAAUUAUGCAUGGCUAAAAGACUUCUUCAAAGUACAAGAGAGACCUGUGGAUUUUAACGUAAUAGAAUACAAAAAGUUCAUUAAUAUGGUUUCCACUUCGACGCUGCAGCUAAUCUCAAACAGCUGACACUCAUCAGUUUUCCACGCAGGAUCAAAGCAUAUUAUCUACAAUUAUCUGAAGAGGCUGAUAAAAAUCCUCCUCCUUUUUGCAGCUAAAUAUCUGUGGAAGCCCAGAUUUUCUUCACUCAUUUUAGCCAA